UGAGUUCAGUAAUACUGCAAUGAAUAAUGUCAGUAUGUCACACACAAAAUGAAAACUGACGUUGAUUCGUACUCAAGACUUAAUCUUAUACGUUACGUUUGGUUGCUGAUGUGAGACUGAUCGCGGAGCAAAAGCGAGCGCCGGAAUAUUAACGGGAAAUCCAAGUCGUGGCCGGUCGCGAUUGGUGCUCGAGGAUACGUGGUAGUCGAAUGCUCAGCGGCGAACUGCCAGUGUUUCCUACAGUUGGCUACCGACUAUUGGCCCACGUCACGAUGCCACUCUACUCCACGUUUGUUCUCGAAGCUUCGGGUAUGAACGUGAUUGGAGGAGAUGUGAAACAGACACGUAUCUCGCGAAAUCUUUUGCGGGCGGUUUAGGUGCCACGGAUCUACAGCGCAAUAAGCAAAAGUAAAAAAAAUAAUGGAUAAAUAUUACAUACUGCUGCUCUAGCUGCUAAUCCACUACUACCGGAAGCAUAUGAUAGGACAGACACUUUAUUUGAUAAGUCAGCUUCAGCUAAACCAAAUUUAAUAGCUUUUAUCCUUCCAUCCAUCAUGUCAGAUGGUGCUACAAUAUGAGCUCCUGGAAAAAUACAAAAAUGAUGUUUAUUUACCAAUAUCUGCAAUGCGUUUGAUACUAGCCUGAUUGUCAAUAGUGCCAUCACUAUUUAGUAUUCCACAAUGUCCAUGAUUAGUGUAAGGACACAAACAGACAUCACAGGCAAUAACUAAAUUAGG